rnacentral:rRNA from 1 species
AGUGAACGCUGGCGGUAGGCCUAACACAUGCAAGUCGAACGGCAGCACAGUAAGAGCUUGCUCUUACGGGUGGCGAGUGGCGGACGGGUGAGGAAUACAUCGGAAUCUACUUUUUCGUGGGGGAUAACGUAGGGAAACUUACGCUAAUACCGCAUACGACCUACGGGUGAAAGCAGGGGAUCUUCGGACCUUGCGCGAUUGAAUGAGCCGAUGUCGGAUUAGCUAGUUGGCGGGGUAAAGGCCCACCAAGGCGACGAUCCGUAGCUGGUCUGAGAGGCUGAUCGGCCACACUGGAACUGAGACACGGUCCAGACUCCUACGGGAGGCAGCAGUGGGGAAUAUUGGACAAAGGGCGCAAGCCUGGUCCAGCCAUACCGCGUGGGUGAAGAAGGCCUUCGGGUUGUAAAGCCCUUUUGUUGGGAAAGAAAAGCAGCAGGUUAAUACCCCGCUGUUCUGACGGUACCCAAAGAAUAAGCACCGGCUAACUUCGUG